rnacentral:misc_RNA from 1 species
AACGCACAUUGCGCCCUUUGGUAUUCCGAAGGGCAUGCCUGUUCGAGCGUCAUUAUCACCCCUCAAGCCCCCUGGCUUGGUGUUGGACGGUUGGCGAUGACCUCCGGGUCGUCGCCCCUCCCAAAGACAAUGACGGCGGCCUCGUUGGACCCCCGGUACACUGAGUUCUUCACGGGACACGUACUGGAUCAAGGGUGCGCGGAGCACGGUCUUAACCAUUUCACCCCUCGUGGGCGGAAUAAUUUUUCUAGGUUGACCUCGGAUCAGGUAGGGAUACCCGCUGAACUUAA